CUGCAGAGAAGUUGACUCUCUGGACAUCUCUAGCUGCACUGCUGACAAAAAGAAACAGUUUUUCACUAUCUCCUUUGAAGCAUUCAGUUCUAGCACAAGUUCAGUUUCUGUUUUUCAGCUCAUACAACCAUACAUUGGAGGUGCAAGUGUUGACUAUAUCCGUAGUUUGGUGGCCUCUGAUGUCAACAUGGACCUGGCUACCUUCAUCAGUUUGGAUGAAAAUGUUGUGCUGAGUCUAACUGCAAGUGAAGUCAAAGAUCUUCUUGGCACCAACCUCCCAGAUUUGAAGUCUUAUGAAAACCAAGUACUGGUGCAGACCUGGAUCAAAAAUCAAUACCAGUCUGAGCUUGAUAUUCUAGGAUUGGGCCUCCAGGGAGGCAAAGUUGACCCCACAACUACGCCAUAUAACAGUUCUACAACAGAUUUGUCACCAACAACAACUAGUUUCAAUACAUCCCCAGCAAGCACGGUUGAAUCUCCAACCACAGGUUAUACAACAGAUUUGUCACCAACAACUAGUUUUAAUACAUCCCGAGCAAGCACAGCUGAAUCUCCAACCACAGGUUAUACAACAGAUUUGUCACCAACAACAACUAGCUUUAAUACAUCACCAGCAAGCACAGCUGAAUCUCCAACCACAGGUUAUACAACAGAUUUGUCACCAACAACAACUAAUGUAACUGAGUUCAGUCCAUCAUCAGCAGGCACUGCUGAACCUUCAACCAUUGGUUCUACAACAGCUUUAUCACCGACAACAAUUAAUGUCACUGAGUUCAGUCCAUCAUCAUCAAGCACUGCUGAACCUUUAACCAUUGGUUCUCCAUCAACUUCAUCAGCAACAACUAAUGUAACUGAGUUCAGUCCAUCAUCAUCAAGUACUGCUGAACCUUUAAGCAUCGGUUCUCCAUCAACUUUAUCAACAACAACUAAUUCCACUGAGUUCAGUCAAUCAUC